UACGGGGGGAGCAAGCGUUGUUCGGAUUUACUGGGCGUAAAGGGCGCGUAGGCGGCCACCGCAAGUCAAUUGUGAAAUCUCCGGGCUUAACUCGGAAAGGUCAACUGAUACUGCGGGGCUAGAGUGCGGAAGGGGCAACUGGAAUUCUCGGUGUAGCGGUGAAAUGCGUAGAUAUCGUAAGGAAGACCAGUGGCGAAGGCGGGUCUCUGGACAGUUCCUGACGCUGAGGCACGAAGGCCAGGGGAGCAAACGGG
rnacentral:rRNA from 1 species